CAGCCGCCGCGGUAAUACGAAGGGUGCAAGCGUUACUCGGAAUUACUGGGCGUAAAGCGUGCGUAGGUGGUGUUUAAGUCCGUUGUGAAAGCCCUGGGCUCAACCUGGGAAUUGCAGUGGAUACUGGAUCACUAGAGUGUGGUAGAGGAUAGUGGAAUUUCCGGUGUACCAGUGAAAUGCGUAGAGAUCGGAAGGAACAUCUGUGGCGAAGGCGACUAUCUGGGCCAACACUGACACUGAGGCACGAAAGCGUGGGGAGCAAACAGGAUUAGAUACCCCUGUAGUCCCUGUCUCUUAUACA
rnacentral:rRNA from 1 species